rnacentral:lncRNA from 1 species
CUGACACCUCAUUUGGAUGUGAGUUGGUGAAAGGAGGCAGCGAGAGUCCUGCUGAGCAUUAGGGGAGGAUGCUUGGGCCUGGGAUUUGGGAGCAAUCCUGUGACGGAGGUCCCUGCGGUUGCCCUUCUUAACGGCGAGGCUAUCACGGGAGAACAAGAAGUUACAUACACUUCCAAGCGAGACAAACCUGCCAAUUGGCAGAAGCCAGAACCAAUUAACGGCAAGGAAAACAAGUUCUCCAAGAUCUUUCUAGACCGGGGACACGUUUAAAACAUCCUCCUCAUCAGACUCCACACCAGAUCUGCUGAACUGGAAGCCUUGGUGGCUGGGCCCAGGCCUGGGGAUUUUAAAAUUCUCAAAGUGCUGGCACUGUGCAGCCACGAUUGUGACCUUUGCCCUCCAAGCUCAGGGUGUGGUUUCACUAUCCUGUGCACAAAGAGGUUUCUCUGGCCUGCUGAUAUCUUGCUGGGGAUGCUUAUCUGUGUGAAAACCCAAAGAGCCAAAUUUUCACCACAUCACAUAUAUGAGAUGGAUUUUUCCACUUUCUGCAUAAAUGUUGCAUUGAAAGAACAGAAUCUGCUCAUGGUUUAUCAUCACCUCAACACAGUCUAAUAACAGGCUGUGGAGAAAAAUAUUCAUCUGGGUAAAAGUGACAGCACCAGGGGCUGGAGUCCAUGGCUCAAGUGUAUGGUGGAGCGACCGGGCUGUUCUGCUGUUGCCUCAGUAAAGCAAUCUUUCUCUUGCUGGGUUGAAAAAUAAAUUUUCUGUUUUCCACGUCCA